GACAGAGGGGGCAAGCGUUGCUCGGAAUUACUGGGCGUAAAGGGCGCGUAGGCGGUGUGUCGCGUCGGCCGUGAAAACCUGCAGCUUAACUGUGGGCGUGCGGUCGAUACGGGCAUCACUGGAGUUCGGCAGGGGAGACUGGAAUUCCUGGUGUAGCGGUGAAAUGCGCAGAUAUCAGGAGGAACACCGGUGGCGAAGGCGGGUCUCUGGGCCGAUACUGACGCUGAGGAGCGAAAGCGUGGGGAGCGAACAGG
rnacentral:rRNA from 1 species